rnacentral:rRNA from 1 species
AGUGAACGCUGGCGGCAUGCCUAACACAUGCAAGUCGAACGAUCCCUUCGGGGAUAGUGGCGCACGGGUGCGUAACGCGUGGGAAUCUGCCCUUGGCUUCGGAAUAACAGUUAGAAAUGACUGCUAAUACCAGAUGAUGUCUUCGGACCAAAGAUUUAUCGGCCAGGGAUGAGCCCGCGUAGGAUUAGGUAGUUGGUGAGGUAAAGGCUCACCAAGCCGACGAUCCUUAGCUGGUCUGAGAGGAUGAUCAGCCACACUGGGACUGAGACACGGCCCAGACUCCUACGGGAGGCAGCAGUGGGGAAUAUUGGACAAUGGGCGCAAGCCUGAUCCAGCAAUGCCGCGUGAGUGAUGAAGGCCUUCGGGUCGUAAAGCUCUUUUACCCGGGAUGAUAAUGACAGUACCGGGAGAAUAAGCUCCGGCUAACUCCGUGCCAGCCGCCGCCGUAAGAC